UACGUAGGGGGCAAGCGUUGUCCGGAUUUAUUGGGCGUAAAGGGCACGCAGGCGGUCUUGCGCGUUUCGAGUGACAGGUGGUGGCUUAACUGCCACAGGCCUCGGAAAACGGCAAGACUUGAGGACUUCAGAGGGACGCGGAAUUCCAGGUGGAGCGGUGAAAUGCGUAGAGAUCUGGAAGAACACCAAAGGCGAAGGCAGCGUUCUGGGAAGUAUCUGACGCUCAGGUGCGAAAGCCAGGGGAGCGAACGGG
rnacentral:rRNA from 1 species